AUUGUUCGCCGUGGCCGCUACCGCGCGCUGUCGGGGUACCACGUGGCGCAGAGCUCCUUCAGCCGGGCCGGAGAGGCCCCCAUGUACCAAGACAGGCCCAGGAGGAAGUGCACGAACGUGAUCUGGACGCUGCCGGC
rnacentral:SRP_RNA from 1 species